rnacentral:rRNA from 1 species
GGACCCGCACAAGCGGUGGAGCAUGUGGCUUAAUUCGAUGCAACGCGAAGAACCUUACCUGGGCUUGACAUGUUAGUCGUAGAUUUGUGAAAGCUUAUCGUCACUUCGGGUGGACUAUCACAGGUGCUGCAUGGCUGUCGUCAGCUCGUGUCGUGAGAUGUUGGGUUAAGUCCCGUAACGAGCGCAACCCCUAUGAACUGUUGCCAGCGGAUAAUGCCGGGGACUCUGUUCAGACUGCCCAGAUUAACUGGGAGGAAGGAGGGGAUGACGUCAAGUCAGUAUGGCCCUUACGCCCAGGGCUGCACACGUGCUACAAUGUCCAGUACAAUGUGAACCGAUGCCGCGAGGUGGAGGAAAUCUUGAAAACUGGGCUCAGUUCGGAUUGUAGUCUGCAACUCGACUACAUGAAGUUGGAAUCGCUAGUAAUCG